GGCUCGAUGGUGUAGUUGGUUAUCACGUUUGCCUAACAGUAUCUCCUGCUCGCAAAAGGUCUCCAGUUCGAACCUGGAUCGAGUCA